CAUGAGUAGUGUUGGACACGUGACUGCCGGCAGGCCCCCCGGCCUAUUGUGCGGCCGACUGUCGGCGCCGUGUCCGGUCGAUUGUGCGGGAUUCGUUCCCGUGCCAUUGACAAGUGCUUGCACGAUGUUACCCGUCCGACGGGAAGUGGGAUUUCAUACAUGUUGCCUUCGUCGCACGCGCCCUUCGGGUGUGACGCGUCGGGUACAAAGCGCUCGCGGCGUUGCCUCACGAUAUGUCCAACAAGGCCAGUAUCGCGAAGGCCACCUCGCUUGUGCUGUUGGUCCCGGAUGCUGCUCACGCUACAGGCUCGUGGCCCUUCGGUGCCGUGUUCCUCACAAAAAGUCCGUUCGGAAAAACGACAGUUGGCCCGGCCGAAGCCGUUGCCGUGCUCCACGUGAGCCGGCGCGUGCGGUGGCCGGUCCAGCUCGUCGAGGAGGACGUGCU
rnacentral:misc_RNA from 1 species